rnacentral:tRNA from 1 species
CAUUGUGAAGCUAAUCUAGCGUUAACCUUUUAAGUUAGAGAUUGGGAACUCAAACCUCCCCAUAAUGA